UGCAGAAUCCCGUGAACCAUCGAGUCUUUGAACGCAAGUUGCGCCCAAAGCCAUUAGGCCGAGGGCACGUCUGCCUGGGCGUCACGU
rnacentral:rRNA from 3 species